CAGGGCUGCUCUCGGCAUCACCUUCUCCCUCUGCUGUGUUUGCAGUACGUGGACUGGCCCCGCCUGGAGCCCAGCCCAGAGCAUCUCUUCUGUGCUUAUCUCCAUCCAGUCCCUGAUGACUGAGAAUCCCUACCACAACGAGCCAGGCUUUGAACAGGUAAGGGCUGUUGGGCCUUGUGCUGAGACCUGCAGUAUUGAGCUGUAGGUGCUCUGAGCUACCCUGGAGAGUCCUUUUCUGUUUUUCCACCUAGAUAGCCUCCACAUAAUACUAGUAUAUAGAGAGGGAAAGGACAUAAGUGCUCUUUAUUUGCAAGAAUUGCAGUAUCAGCUGGGCCUGGUGAAGCACACCUUUAACCCCAGUCCUAGGGAGGCAGAAGCUGGUGGAGCUCUGAGGUUAAAGCUAGUGUAGUCUGUGUGGUGAUAUCCAAGCCAGCUAAGCCUCCAUAGUGAGACCCUGCCUCAAAAAAGGGAAAAAAGAAGAAAAGAAAGAAAGGAAACAAACAAAUCUUACAAUAAAAUUACUACAUAUUUAGCUUGGGUUAGCCAACUUAGUCGAAGUAGUAUCAUUUAGAAAUCAGUUUUGAGGGUUGGGGAUUUAGCUCAGUGGUAGAGCGCUUGCCUAGCAAGCUCAAGGCCCUGAGUUUGGUCCCCAGCUCCGGAAA
rnacentral:lncRNA from 1 species